AGCGUACACGGUGGAUGCCCUGGCAGUCAGAGGCGAUGAAGGACGUGCUAAUCUGCGAUAAGCGUCGGUGAGGUGAUAUGAACCGUUAUAACCGGCGAUUUCCGAAUGGGGAAACCCAGUGUGUUUCGACACACUAUCAUUAACUGAAUCCAUAGGUUAAUGAGGCGAACCGGGGGAACUGAAACAUCUAAGUACCCCGAGGAAAAGAAAUCAACCGAGAUUCCCCCAGUAGCGGCGAGCGAACGGGGAGGAGCCCAGAGCCUGAAUCAGUGUGUGUGUUAGUGGAAGCGUCUGGAAAGGCGCGCGAUACAGGGUGACAGCCCCGUACACAAAAAUGCACAUAUUGUGAGCUCGAUGAGUAGGGCGGGACACGUGGUAUCCUGUCUGAAUAUGGGGGGACCAUCCUCCAAGGCUAAAUACUCCUGACUGACCGAUAGUGAACCAGUACCGUGAGGGAAAGGCGAAAAGAACCCCGGCGAGGGGAGUGAAAAAGAACCUGAAACCGUGUACGUACAAGCAGUGGGAGCCUCUUAAUGGGGUGACUGCGUACCUUUUGUAUAAUGGGUCAGCGACUUAUAUUCUGUAGCAAGGUUAACCGAAUAGGGGAGCCGAAGGGAAACCGAGUCUUAACUGGGCGUUAAGUUGCAGGGUAUAGACCCGAAACCCGGUGAUCUAGCCAUGGGCAGGUUGAAGGUUGGGUAACACUAACUGGAGGACCGAACCGACUAAUGUUGAAAAAUUAGCGGAUGACUUGUGGCUGGGGGUGAAAGGCCAAUCAAACCGGGAGAUAGCUGGUUCUCCCCGAAAGCUAUUUAGGUAGCGCCUCGUGAAUUCAUCUCCGGGGGUAGAGCACUGUUUCGGCAAGGGGGUCAUCCCGACUUACCAACCCGAUGCAAACUGCGAAUACCGGAGAAUGUUAUCACGGGAGACACACGGCGGGUGCUAACGUCCGUCGUGAAGAGGGAAACAACCCAGACCGCCAGCUAAGGUCCCAAAGUCAUGGUUAAGUGGGAAACGAUGUGGGAAGGCCCAGACAGCCAGGAUGUUGGCUUAGAAGCAGCCAUCAUUUAAAGAAAGCGUAAUAGCUCACUGGUCGAGUCGGCCUGCGCGGAAGAUGUAACGGGGCUAAACCAUGCACCGAAGCUGCGGCAGCGACACUAUGUGUUGUUGGGUAGGGGAGCGUUCUGUAAGCCUGUGAAGGUGGCCUGUGAGGGUUGCUGGAGGUAUCAGAAGUGCGAAUGCUGACAUAAGUAACGAUAAAGCGGGUGAAAAGCCCGCUCGCCGGAAGACCAAGGGUUCCUGUCCAACGUUAAUCGGGGCAGGGUGAGUCGACCCCUAAGGCGAGGCCGAAAGGCGUAGUCGAUGGGAAACAGGUUAAUAUUCCUGUACUUGGUGUUACUGCGAAGGGGGGACGGAGAAGGCUAUGUUGGCCGGGCGACGGUUGUCCCGGUUUAAGCGUGUAGGCUGGUUUUCCAGGCAAAUCCGGAAAACCAAGGCUGAGGCGUGAUGACGAGGCACUACGGUGCUGAAGCGACAAAUGCCCUGCUUCCAGGAAAAGCCUCUAAGCAUCAGGUAACAUCAAAUCGUACCCCAAACCGACACAGGUGGUCAGGUAGAGAAUACCAAGGCGCUUGAGAGAACUCGGGUGAAGGAACUAGGCAAAAUGGUGCCGUAACUUCGGGAGAAGGCACGCUGAUAUGUAGGUGAAGCGACUUGCUCGUGGAGCUGAAAUCAGUCGAAGAUACCAGCUGGCUGCAACUGUUUAUUAAAAACACAGCACUGUGCAAACACGAAAGUGGACGUAUACGGUGUGACGCCUGCCCGGUGCCGGAAGGUUAAUUGAUGGGGUUAGCGGUAACGCGAAGCUCUUGAUCGAAGCCCCGGUAAACGGCGGCCGUAACUAUAACGGUCCUAAGGUAGCGAAAUUCCUUGUCGGGUAAGUUCCGACCUGCACGAAUGGCGUAAUGAUGGCCAGGCUGUCUCCACCCGAGACUCAGUGAAAUUGAACUCGCUGUGAAGAUGCAGUGUACCCGCGGCAAGACGGAAAGACCCCGUGAACCUUUACUAUAGCUUGACACUGAACAUUGAGCCUUGAUGUGUAGGAUAGGUGGGAGGCUUUGAAGUGUGGACGCCAGUCUGCAUGGAGCCGACCUUGAAAUACCACCCUUUAAUGUUUGAUGUUCUAACGUUGGCCCCUAAUCGGGGUUGCGGACAGUGUCUGGUGGGUAGUUUGACUGGGGCGGUCUCCUCCUAAAGAGUAACGGAGGAGCACGAAGGUUGGCUAAUCCUGGUCGGACAUCAGGAGGUUAGUGCAAUGGCAUAAGCCAGCUUGACUGCGAGCGUGACGGCGCGAGCAGGUGCGAAAGCAGGUCAUAGUGAUCCGGUGGUUCUGAAUGGAAGGGCCAUCGCUCAACGGAUAAAAGGUACUCCGGGGAUAACAGGCUGAUACCGCCCAAGAGUUCAUAUCGACGGCGGUGUUUGGCACCUCGAUGUCGGCUCAUC
rnacentral:rRNA from 1 species